rnacentral:rRNA from 1 species
AGGAUAAACGCUGGCGGCGUGCCUAACACAUGCAAGUCGAACGUCUCUUCUUUCGGGAAGAGGAGUGGCGGACGGGUGAGGAACACGUGGGAACCUGCCCUUUAGUGAGGAAUACCGGCGAGAAAUCGCCGACAAGACCGCAUAGCCCUCUUUGAUGAGAGUCAAAGAAGGAAAGCUUCGCAAGAGGCGCUAGAGGAGGGGCCUGCGUCCGAUUAGCUAGUUGGUGGGGUAAGAGCCUACCAAGGCGUCGAUCGGUAGCUGGUCUGAGAGGACGAUCAGCCACACUGGGAUUGAGAACGGCCCAGACUCCUACGGGGGCAGCAGUGAGGAAUUUUCGGCAAUGGGGGAAACCCUGACCGAGCAACGCCGCGUGCAGGAAGACGGCCUUCGGGUUGUAAACUGCUUUUCGUUGGGUACGAGCAAGGACGGUACCAGAGGAAUCAGCCCGGCUCACUACGUGCCAGCAGCCGC